rnacentral:lncRNA from 1 species
CAGGAAUUUUCCUGGCUUCAAUGCAUUGGAAAUUUCCCAUUAGAUGUUUAUCCAGAUUUAACUCAAGGUCUGCACAUGAAUUAUUCAGUGUAAAUCCACCAGAUGUAUCAUCAUCUGUGAGCUUCCCUUUUUCUUCCUGCACAUGAACAAAUGGAUUUGGGAGUGUUGUGAUAAGUGGGCCCUACAGCUCUGUCCUAACUGAAAUGCUGUACCAAUACCAUACCAAUGCUGUUGGUAUAAUGGAAACAUGAUCUGGAAAGACUUAAAAUGUGGGACAUGCCACUCACCAUUUCUAUGAACAAGUUAGUGGUCUCAAGAGAGAAUAAAUGUGAAAAAAGUAGCUACUUCCACAUGUUGCUCAUAGAUGCCAGAUGGCCAGCUUGUGGCCGUGCCUGGGGCUGUCAUUCACCUUCCCUACAAGCAGCCAGAGGCAAAUGA